rnacentral:rRNA from 1 species
AGUGAACGCUGGCGGUAGGCUUAACACAUGCAAGUCGAACGGCAGCACAGUAAGAGCUUGCUCUUACGGGUGGCGAGUGGCGGACGGGUGAGGAAUACAUCGGAAGCUACUUUUUCGUGGGGGGUAACGUAGGGAAACUUACGCUAAUACCUCAUACGACCUACGGGUGAAAGCAGGGGAUCUUCGGACCUUGCGCGACUGAAUGAGCCGAUGUCGGAUUAGCUAGUUGGCGGGGUAAAGGCCCACCAAGGCGACGAUCCGUAGCUGGUCUGAGAGGAUGAUCAGCCACACUGGAACUGAGACACGGUCCAGACUCCUACGGGAGGCAGCAGUGGGGAAUAUUGGACAAUGGGCGCAAGCCUGAUCCAGCCAUACCGCGUGGGUGAAGAAGGCCUUCGGGUUGUAAAGCCCUUUUGCUGGGAAAGAAAAGCAGCAGGUUAAUACCCCGCUGUUCUGACGGUACCCAAAGAAUAAGCACCGGCUAACUUCGUG